AAUCAUGGAUGCUGCUAAUUUUGAGCAGUUUUUGCAAGAGAGAAUCAAAGUGAACGGAAAAGCUGGAAAUCUCGGGGGAGGGGUUGUGACCAUCGAGAGAAGCAAGAGCAAGAUCACUGUCACUUCUGAGGUGCCUUUUUCUAAAAGGUAUUUGAAAUAUCUCACCAAAAAAUAUUUGAAGAAGAACAAUCUACGUGAUUGGUUGCGUGUAGUUGCUAACAGCAAAGAGAGUUACGAAUUACGUUACUUCCAAAUUAACCAGGAUGAAGAAGAGGAGGAAGAUGAGGAUUAAAAUUCAUUUAUUUGGAAUAUUUUGUAUAAGUUCUUAAAUAAAACAUCGGAA